GUCAGGGUUAGACGGUAGGGUUAAGGUCAGGGUUAGACAGUAGGGUUAACAUUGGUUAAGGUCAGGGUUAGACGGUAGGGUUAAGGUCAGGGUUAGACGGUAGGGUUAACAGUGGUUAAGGUCAGGGUUAGACGGUAGGGUUAACAGUGUGGUUAAGGUCAGGGUUAGACGGUAGGGUUAACAGUGGUUAAGGUCAGGGUUAGACGGUAGGGUUAACAGUGGUUAAGGUCAGGGUUAGACGGUAGGGUUAAGGUCAGGGUUAGACAGUAGGGUUAACAGUGUGGUUAAGGUCAGGGUUAGACGGUAGGGUUAACAGUGGUUAAGGUCAGGGUUAGACGGUAGGGUGAAGGUUCAAAUCAGAUGUAAUGACUGUGUCUAUGCCAGCUGGUGACCACUCUGCAGAGCCUCCAGGGCUUCUUGACAAUAAAU